rnacentral:tRNA from 1 species
GCGGUCGUGGUCUAGUGGUAUGAUACCGCCUUGCCAAGGCGGAUACGCGGGUCCGAUUCCCGCCGACCGCA